UAAUUUUGGAUAUUUUCUUCUUCCAUCUUCACAAAAAAAAAAAAAGUUGUUACAAUAUGAAAAUUAUUCUCAUUUUUUUGGUUUUGCUUAUCACAGUUUCUGUGAUAAGUGCUAAACCUCUCAUUGGUUCAACAACUUGUCCUGUACCUAGAAGUAAAUGUGGACAGGCAUGUAUUAAGAGAUGUUCACACAAAGGUCACAAAAAAAGAUGUUUGUUUUAUUGCAACCAUUGUUGUGGAUGGUGCCAAUGUGUUCCACCAGGUUAUGUUGGGCAAAAUAAAGGAUGUUGUUCUUGCUACAACAAUUGGAAGACACAAAUAGGAGGACCAAAGUGUCCAUGAUAUUUAUAUAUUAAUCGUGGAAAAAUAGUUUGUCGGAGAAUCUUAGUAGUUCAGUUAGUUGUAUUGGUUGACUGGUUUACUUGGAUUUUCACUUUGUUGGUGAUUGUUCGAUUCUCCGCCUUGUAAUUUUCUGUCUUCAUUGUAUACGUUUUAUGUGUAUUUUUCUUUUAUUUGUUCUUCUCGAGGAAGUGUAUUUUUUCCUAUCGUAGCGUAGGAAGAGAUAUCUUUCUCUUUAUUAGAGCCAAGAUCGUACGAGGAGAAAAUGAGGAUUCUUUUUGCCUUUUCUCUCGCGGUACUUGUACGCUAUCUGUCAUUGUGAAGUUUUUCUUUUUGUGUUGUUAAAAUCAAGAAUUAAUAUUUCUUGAUUAUGUUCUGUUAGGUUCACAUAAUCUAACUAUUAUAAAUGAACUCUCGUUGUUCCAUUUUA